rnacentral:lncRNA from 1 species
UCUAAUAACAAGUCUCGCUUUAUACCUUUCAACACUGCCAUCAGCCUUGUAUUUGAUUUUAUAAACCCAUUUGCAGUCAAUGGGUUUCUUACAAGGAGGAAGAGGAACAACAUCCCAAGUAUGGUUUGUGUCCAAAGCAUCAAACUCCUUUCUCAUGGCAUCCUGCCAUGCUGGAACAGAUGCAGCUUGAGAGUAAUAUAGAGGUUCAGAUUCCAAGGAAGAGGAAGAGGAUCCAGAAAAGUAGGAAGUUGACAAACAUAAUCCUUAAGAUAAGAGGGAGGAUUAUGCUGUCUUUGAGAUUUUCUGGGAGCAAGAACAGAUGGGGAGGAGGCCAAAGCAGGAGGAGAGAUAUCAGGAUUGAAAGAAGGAAUGAAAGCAGGAUUAGUAGAAUCUGGAGCAAUAUGAUGAAGUGCUUGAACAGAUGUAGGAGGAAGAGGAGAGGAGAUAGGAAUGGAAGGGUCUGGAUCAGUAGAAUCUUCUACAGGUGGAACAAAAGGAAAGGAUGAAGGAGAAGGAUGAACAGAAGAGGAUGCAGUUUUAAAAGGAAAACAGGUUUCAUGGAAUAUAACAUCCCUGGAAACAAAACCAGGUGGAACAAAAGGAAAGGAUGAAGGGGAAGGAUGAAUAGAAGAGGAUGCAGUCUUAAAAGGAAAACAAGUUUCAUGGAAUAUAUCCCUAGAAACAAAACAUUUCAUGGAAGCAAGAUCAUACAAUUUAUAACCCUUUUUGGCAAAAGGAUAACCUAGGAAAACACAAGAAAUGGCUUUUGGCCUUAACUUGUCCCUUUGAGGAAUUGGGACAGUAGCA